UCUUGCCCCAGUCAUGACUCUUCUACUUGGCAUGGUUGUUUUACAGGAUGAAGUCAUAAAACAAAAUGGAGUCACAUUUGCUCCUACUAUCACAUAUGUAACCCAAAAACCUAUCAAUUUACCAAGGUAUGGGUUAUUUCCACCCUCAUACCUGCAAAUUAUGUCCUUCCCAGUCAAUUCCUGCCCUCCCAUUUUUAUCAGACAAGAGUAUCCAUAUCUGACCUGACACCAUAUAUGAGUGCUACCUGUUCUAGAACUUUUAAUUAGUGAAAUCACACAAUUUUUAUUCUUAUGUCCAUCUUCUUUCAUUCAGCAAAUGUUUUGUUUUGUUUUGAGAUUAAGCAUACCAUUCCCUGUAGUAAGAGAUCAUGCUCUUUUCAGGACUGCGGCAGCCUCGUUACCGUUGCUGUGGAAGGAGUCGGUCUCAUCAGUUCAUGAAGUUUUUCUCCUAAUUGCCCUGUUGGACUGAGCUCCCAUAAGCAAGAAGUGGACCAAGGUUUCUACUCAACAGCAGCCCUGGCAGAGAGGGGGCUAUGGAACAGCAGCCUCCCUGUUUGUCUUGGUUUUGAACAGAAGCGAGUGAUAUUUUUAAACCUAAAGUGAGAAAAUGGCAGCUCUAGUGAUGACUCAAGCAAUAGGCACCUGCAGCUGUUACAAUCUUUGUUAAUGAGAGACAGGGUUUUUUUUUUUUUUUUAAAUCAUUCUUGACACUUUAUUUCACAAAGGCUUUAGUGUUAGACAGUCUUCUGAAGCUCUGAUGUCCAACUGUACUCCACAGUGCAAGUUAGCACAGGGGCCAGCAAAUCCUGUAAAGAGCCAGAGUAAUUUUAGGCAUUACAGCCACAUGGUCUGUGUCCUAACUCCUCACAUCUGCAGCUGUAUAACCGAAAAUAAGUAAAAGACUGUGCAUGACUGUGUUCCAAUAAAACUUUAUGGUCACUGGAA